rnacentral:rRNA from 1 species
GCGUUGUUCGGAAUUACUGGGCGUAAAGGGCUCGUAGGUGGCCAACUAAGUCAGACGUGAAAUCCCUCGGCUUAACCGGGGAACUGCGUCUGAUACUGGAUGGCUUGAGUUCGGGAGAGGGAUGCGGAAUUCCAGGUGUAGCGGUGAAAUGCGUAGAUAUCUGGAGGAACACCGGUGGCGAAGGCGGCAUCCUGGACCGAUACUGACGCUGAGGAGCGAAAGCGUGGGGAGCAAACAGG